UACGGAGGGGACUAGCGUUGUUCGGAAUUACUGGGCGUAAAGCGCACGUAGGCAGAUUUGUAAGUCAGGGGUGAAAUCCCGGGGCUCAACCUCGGAACUGCCUUUGAUACUGCAAAUCUCGAGUCCGGAAGAGGUGAGUGGAAUUCCUAGUGUAGAGGUGAAAUUCGUAGAUAUUAGGAAGAACACCAGUGGCGAAGGCGGCUCACUGGUCCGGUACUGACGCUGAGGUGCGAAAGCGUGGGGAGCAAACAGG
rnacentral:rRNA from 1 species